rnacentral:rRNA from 1 species
ACUCAAAUGAAUUGACGGGGGCCCGCACAAGCAGUGGAGCAUGUGGUUUAAUUCGAUGCAACGCGAAGAACCUUACCUGGGCUCGAAAUGUAGAGGACGAUAUCAGAGAUGAUGUUUCCCGCAAGGGCUUCUAUAUAGGUGCUGCAUGGCUGUCGUCAGCUCGUGCCGUGAGGUGUUUGGUUAAGUCCAGCAACGAGCGCAACCCUUAUCGUUAGUUGCCAACACGUGAAGGUGGGAACUCUAACGAGACUGCCUGGGUUAACCAGGAGGAAGGUGAGGAUGACGUCAAGUCCGCAUGGCCUUUAUGUCCAGGGCUACACACGUGCUACAAUGGUCGGUACAGAAGGCAGCGAAGCCGCAAGGUGGAGCAAAUCCCAAAAAACCGAUCUCAGUUCAGAUUGUAGUCUGCAACUCGGCUACAUGAAGUUGGAAUUGCUAGUAAUGGCGUGUCAGCAACAACGCCGUGAAUACGUUCCCGGGCCUUGUACACACCGCCCGU